AUAUUAUACAGUGAUAAUAUGGACUACUAUUAUUUGGCAGUGCUUCUUUGUGGGUGUCAUUGGAGUCAUUUACUGCUCUUCUUCUUUGAUGUCCGGGGUUAUGAUCGCAGUUUUACUUCCUGUUACUGAGGUAUUAGCAGUAGUUUUUUUUAGGGAAAAUUUUUCAGGUGAAAAGGGCCUUGCUCUUUUUCUUUCUCUUUGGGGUUUCGUCUCAUACUUUUACGGAGAAUUCAGGCAAACAAAGAAGGAGAAGAACAAAAGUCCAAAAAUUGAGAUGACAACAACUUAUACUGAGUCUGUUUAAUUUACUAAGUCUGUCUGAUUUACUAUUCACGGCUAUAAAGAUAAAUAGUUUGUAUUUUUUGUAGAAAAUAAUGUGCUUUAUAUUUCUAUAAUACCUACUUUUCGUUUCUAUAAAAUUUCUGACAUUCCUUAAAUUUGCAAUACGACACUUUGAAAGAUUGCAUUUGCCAGUAAAUGAUCAUUAAUUUCCAUGACUUAUUCAUCUAUACAAUUAUUUGACAACACAAUUAAAUACUAAUUAAGGAAAAAGACAAUGUUACUUUAAAUUUAGACCAAAUUCGAAAAAGGAAGAAAAAAAAUACCAAUUUUUACAUCGACAUAGCAUAGAGUUUCUUCUCCCUCAACGUCUGUAAUACAAUUCCCAGAUAUUGCUCAUGCUCCUCCUGCAUGAAUACACUAGUAUAUCUUAUGGAUUAUAAUAAGUAGCGGAAACAAUCCCACUAUCAAAAUCACAUGUAAUUUAGACAACUAGCGUAAAUGAGAUUUCACGGGUUACCUCUUGAAGCGUGAACAUAUCUCUUCUACCAUGUGAGCCUUUGUCUGAUUUACUAUUCACGGCUAUAAAGAUAAAUAGUUUGUAUUUUUUGUAGAAAAUAAUGUGCUUUAUAUUUCUAUAAUACCUACUUUUUGUUUCUAUAAAAUUUCUGACAUUCCUUAAAUUUGCAAUACGACACUUUGAAAGAUUGCAUUUGCCAGUAAAUGAUCAUUAAUUUCCAUGACUUAUUCAUCUAUACAAUUAUUUGACAACACAAUUAAAUACU
rnacentral:lncRNA from 1 species